AAAAAAAAUAUAACCACUCAUGAUUUAAGCUUUUCAGUCAAAGGGUUUGAGAAUCUUCAUUCUCUUUUCCAGAUCUGUUCUUAAAGUUGAGAGGAGAUCUGUGGCUCUUGCUAUAAAUUCUUCACUUUAUG